CUCGACGAGGGCAGGCGGGAUUGCCUUCCAGAGUGUACCUCCGGCCGGCUGGUUCACAGUGAAUAAAAACACAUUUAUAAUCCUUUAAGCUUCAAGAACCUGUGAUACGUGACUGGAUGGAAUUCCUGGAGAACUGUAUUAACAUGUUUCGCAGAGUUGAAUUCUGAGAGGAGGAAUCCCUUGUGUCUGCUUGGAUUCUGCAUGUCCUGGAAUUCUGCAUGUACUACAGCUCUGAAUUUGUGGCUGCCAGGAAAAUGGAAGGAGAUCAACAGACUUCAACUUUGCAUCUGUUUGUAUGAGACUUGAACAGAAACAUUGGUACUUCCUGGAUUCCAGCCUGCCAACCUUUGGACCAGAACUAUACUAUUGAUUCUCUUGGGUUUCCAACUGACUGACUACAGAUCUUGGGACUUGUCAGCCUGCAUAAUCAUGAAGAGAAAAAGAAAAAGAGGAGGCUUGCUGUUUUUGCUGUUUUAGUCUUAAUUUUCUUAAGAAAUGUGAGAGGGUGGGAAGGCGAAGAUAAACUACGUUGGGAACGUAUCAGCCCAUGGACGGAUCUACCUCCUCGCUUGCACGUUUCUGAAGCAAUUCCAGUAUGAAUACAGGAGGAGAAUCAGGAAACAGAACACGCUGACAUUCCCUCUUCUAUUAACCGUAUGGUUAAAUAUGUACUUUUAGUGGAAUUCACUAACUCUACACAGUUUAGUCUACCCUCAGCGGGCAAUUAGCCAUGUUAUAAGCAGCAAACCUGAGACGGAGACCAAACGAUCGUCGGUUUGUUAGUACAGGACUAACGUUUGCCUGUUUCUAGUACACAGGACUUGAGUUUAUCUAAAAUUAUAGACAAGCCUUUCCUAUCAGCCAAAUAACCCUCUGUGGGGUUUACAAACAAUUGCAAUUUGGAGUCCCAUUUAACUUGUUCAUGAAGACAAACAGGAAGGGAAAGAAGUGAAAUUCUUAAGACUCUGCAAUGUAAACAGUUGACCAAUGAAGGGACACAGAGCAUUCUAGCCAGGAUCUCCCUGGCCCUCGUACUCUUUCAACUCUGUUAUUUUCCUAGAAUUAAACCAGAAUGAAAUUAAUCCAGUUAGCAGGAAUUUAUCUUGUUUCAAGAUUAUUUAAAACAAGGAUGGGAAACUGUACAAAAUGUUUUCCUCAUGGAAAGGCAUUAAACUGAAAAUAUCCAAGUCUCAGCCCCACUUCAACUAUUGGUAAGAACCUUUGAUGGAGGGGUUCGUGGUGGAGAAUUUCAACUGAAAAUAGUGGGACCUAUUCAUUGCAGCUACAGUGCACCUGGAUGAACUUCUCAAGUAACUCCUUCUAACUUAGACUCUCUAAAAGAUAAUAGCUAAGGUAUAGGGUAAUCUACUAUAAAAACAAAACCUCCAACUACAAUGGAUCCGUAAAUGUAGGAAUUUAUUUCUCACUCACAUCAUAAUCCAAAGGUAGGGGAGCAUUUAGAGCAAGAAAUUGGCCCUUUAAGUCUCACCCAUAGCUACACCUUGUGGGUUCAAGGUGGCUAUUACAAUUUUCAUUGUCUUCAGCUAGCAGAAGGGUGGAAGGGAUGAAGGGACCUUACGACAGCUGUUUUACAGGAAAUAUUUGGGAAUUUAAUAUAGAUUAUACCCUUAUCCUUUGCUGAAAGAUCACCCCUAGCUUUCAGGGAUAUUGCAAAAUAUGUUCUUUGGGCGAGCAGCCAUGUGCUCAGCUUCAAGAUUGGGGAAGGUGAGAAGAAUGGCCCAGAGGUCAUUCAGUUUUCUGCCGUAGUGCCUCAUAAAGUCACAGUGAAGUUUAAAUAAGUUCAUAUAUAUAUAAAAAUGCUAAAUUAUCUGCAAAUGAGUUAACACUCAGAAAAUAGAGUGGCAAAUUAUGCACAGAUUCCCAGUUACAUGUCAUUUCAUUUCCAAAAGCAUUUGCUUUAUUCCUUUGGGAGGACAACAGAAGUUUUCUCUAGAGAAAUCAUAAACACAAUGUAGCCCAAUAUCUAAUCCAGGAUUACAUUUGAAAAAAAUCCCCAUAGGCAGGUCAUGAGAGUUUUUAAUUUAAAAAAAAAUUUGUGUUUGUGAAGCAAUAUUUUUUUAAAAAAUUUGUCAUAAAGUUCUGAUUUUAAUGACUUUAGUGGCCUUAAAUUUUCUUUUUAGACAAUAGCAGUGUAAGAGUGGAGAAGGUUGUUAGAGAGCCUCCUCACUGUGGCUUGAUGUGAUAAAUAAUUUGCUCAUAGCAUGCGUGCUCCUUUAUUUCACCUCCAACUUACUUUUGGGGGGACUUUGUUAUCAGCAGUAAUAUAUCCUGAUCAUUUUAAGUCUGUAAGGAAAUGGAUGAUAGUCUCUUUUCAAAAAAAGAUUGAAUGGCCCUUCUUAGAUGGUUCUAAGUACUGCAGCAGCUUCUUAAAAUUCUUCUGUCAUAAUUAUCUAUAUAAAUGUGAAUCUUUUGUAUCCAUUCCUUCACUUUUUAUUCUCAUUUGUUUCACAAGUAUUUGGCAUAUUGUUUUCAAAGAAGGCUACAGUUCCUCCCACCCCACUAGCCCCUUAGUGAUGUAACUUUAUCACUCUUAUUAUCAAGAGAUGAAAUCUCUUUCCCUUCCUCUUGAACUGUGCCGGUCCUGUGACCAGCUAUGACCAAUGGCAUGCAACAGAUGUGACACUGUGUGAUUUCUGGCUCAAAGUCUUAAGAAGUCUUGAAGUUUCCAUUUUCACCCUUGGAAAGAUGUUCAGCCUAGACUACCAACUGAUAAAAGCAGACUAAAACUACCGAGUGCAGACAAAGGUCAUCUGGAGGACAACUUCCAGCAUGAGCACCCGAAGUAUGUGAGUGUUCCAUCUUGGAUUCUUCAGCCUCAGUCAGGUCCCCCCAGCCAACACUGUACAGAGCAAGGGCCAAGCUAUCUCCUGUAAGUCUUGUUCAAAUUCCUGACCCACAGAGUGGUGAGCAGUACAAAUGGCUGCUGAUUUCAGCCACUGAGUUUCAGAGCAGAUUGUUACACAGCAAAAGAUUACUGGAAUUGUCUUUUCUUCUUCUUGACAUUACACUGUUUUCCAGAACAGGAACCGUGUUCAGUGAGUUUCUUGAUGUCUCUCCACAAGGCAAUGUAUUGGCUCCACAAUAGCUGUAACUGAGUGAAUUAAUUCCACUUCAUAUGUCUGGAGAAACUUUCUCAAGAUUCAGUUGAUAAAGUUCAGUGACUGUUAGUGUGUUUUGGAAAAGCAUCUUUGUUAUAAUUUGAUAUUUUAAUGCAUGACCUUACAUAAGUCAGUGGAUUGCUUGAGGCCUGGGUGCUAUUAAUCAAGGUCUCUGAGCACCAUCACCUUGAAAUUUCAUGAAACCACAAUCCUGUGAACAGCCCCAGCUAGAGCCACUAAUAAAAUAGAGAAUAAAAAUAGGUAGGUAUACAGCAAUGGAUGGAAGGUUGUAAAUUUACCCAUGCUGAGUUUUAAGGCAGUUGAAUUUAUUUGUUCUGAAUUGUGUAUCUUGGCUUUCUAUUUUAGAGUAAAAUAAAUAAUAUCAAAUAAAGCAAAGCUGAAUAGUACAGGAGUGACAGUGUGUUUCCCACACAACUCCGUAUUUUCUGUAACUAAGAAAAAUACCACAAGUUGAAGAAACAACUCUUAAAUGACAAAGCAAAAUGUGACACCAAUAUAUGAUACAAAAUCCAUGGUCUUUUAUCAUAAAGACGAAAUAAAAGCUAGCCUCUGAGUCAAAUAUAACAUUUCAAAGCAGACAUGUGCAUCAUUAAGGGUUUUACUGUUUUGAUUCCUCCUUUCUUCCCUCCCUC